rnacentral:rRNA from 1 species
AUUGAACGCUGGCGGCAGGCCUAACACAUGCAAGUCGAACGAGUGGCGGACGGGUGAGUAAUGUCUGGGAAACUGCCUGAUGGAGGGGGAUAACUACUGGAAACGGUAGCUAAUACCGCAUACCAUCAGAUGUGCCCAGAUGGGAUUAGCUUGUUGGUGGGGUAACGGCUCACCAAGGCGACGAUCCCUAGCUGGUCUGAGAGGAUGACCAUGCACACCGGAAAUGAGGAAAGGUCCAGACUCCCACGGGAGGGCGCAGGGGGGAAUAUUGGACAAUUGGCGAAAGCCUGAUGCAGCCAUGCCGCGUGUAUGAAGAAGGCCGUCGGGUUGUAAAGUACUUUUAGCGGGGAAGCGUUACCCGCAGAAGAAGCACCGGCUAACUCCGUGCCAGCAGCCGCGGUAAUAC